GUUUGGAUUUAUGGCAGCCCCUUUCCCCUGCACCUCUUACAGUGUCCCAUGCCAGAGCCAACUGUGACUCCCAACCAUUGCCUGGCUUCUGCCUGAAGGCUGAUGGCACCAAAGUGGGUUGCACAGAG
rnacentral:snoRNA from 1 species